rnacentral:RNase_P_RNA from 1 species
CUCGGGCGACCGCGCGCAUUGGGACGGAGGAAAGUCCGGACUCCGCAGGGCAGGGCGCCCCGCCGCCGAGGCGGGGGAGGCGCGGGCAAACCGCGCCGACGGAAAGCGCCACAGAAACGAGACCGCCCCGGGGGCGACCCCGGAGCAAGGGUGAAACGGCGGUGCAAGAGACCACCGUGCGCCGCGGAGACGCGGCGCGCAAGGCAAGCCCCGCCCGGAGCAAGAUCGAAUAGGGAACGCGCCCCGCGGCCCGCGGGCGGCCCGGCCGAAAGACCGGACGGCGUUCCGGGUCGAUCGCGAAGAAGAAUGAUCCGAGCCGCCUUCGGGCGGACACAGAAUCCGGCUUAUGACCCCGCC